GAUGAACGCUGGCGGCGUGCCUAAUACAUGCAAGUCGAGCGAACGGACGAGAAGCUUGCUUCUCUGAUGUUAGCGGCGGACGGGUGAGUAACACGUGGAUAACCUACCUAUAAGACUGGGAUAACUUCGGGAAACCGGAGCUAAUACCGGAUAAUAUUUUGAACCGCAUGGUUCAAAAGUGAAAGACGGUCUUGCUGUCACUUAUAGAUGGAUCCGCGCUGCAUUAGCUAGUUGGUAAGGUAACGGCUUACCAAGGCAACGAUGCAUAGCCGACCUGAGAGGGUGAUCGGCCACACUGGACCUGAGACACGGUCCAGACUCCUACGGGAGGCAGCAGUAGGGAGUCUUCCGCAAUGGGCGAAAGCCUGACGGAGCAACGCCGCGUGAGUGAUGAAGGUCUUCGGAUCGUAAAACUCUGUUAUUAGGGAAGAACAUAUGUGUAAGUAACUGUGCACAUCUUGACGGUAGCUAAUCAGAAAGCCACGGCUAACUACGU
rnacentral:rRNA from 1 species